rnacentral:lncRNA from 1 species
CUCCUUAUGAUGACCCCUGCGCCCGAGCCCGAGGAGUUUGAUGCUCCAUCCACGAAAAUUUGCCAAACAUCCGUUGUUGUGCUCGAGCUCUCUCUUCGCCCCCGAGGCUUUGGGGUGAGUUCUGCAAUAAAGUCCGCUAAAGCUUGGGCUUUGAUGGACGGACGAGGCUUGAACUCUAUGUCAAACUCCCCAAGUUCAAUUGCCCACUUUAGUUAUCUGCCUGAGACGUCUGGCUUUUGAAGGAUGUGUUUCAGAGGCUGAUUGGUGAGCACAACAAUGGGAUGAGACUGAAAAUAUUGUCGAAGCUUUCGUGCUACCACUAUCAG